rnacentral:siRNA from 1 species
UGGAUGCCCAUUAUAAGGC